rnacentral:rRNA from 1 species
UACAGAGGUCUCAAGCGUUGUUCGGAUUCAUUGGGCGUAAAGGGUGCGUAGGCGGCGCGGGUAGUCGGGUGUGAAAUCUCGGAGCUUAACUCCGAAACUGCAUUCGAUACUGCCGUGCUUGAGGACUGGAGAGGAGACUGGAAUUUACGGUGUAGCGGUGAAAUGCGUAGAUAUCGUAAGGAAGACCAGUGGCGAAGGCGGGUCUCUGGACAGUUCCUGACGCUGAGGCACGAAGGUCAGGGGAGCAAACGGG